GGGCCGGUAGCUCAGCAUGGUAGAGCAGCGGCCUUUUAAGCCGUUGGUCGCAGGUUCGAAUCCUGCUCGGCCCA
rnacentral:tRNA from 1 species